AACAAAAUCGGGGUAACAAACUAAAACCGAGGGAAACGUAUUAAAUAUAAGAGGAGAACAACGGCACAACACUAAAAUGUAACACACACAGAAACGGACCAAGCAUCAGACAAAAUCCCACAAAUAUAACAUCAAAACCAAAUACAUGAAUUUGGGAUAGACAAGUACCGUGACACGUCUUAUCGCAAUGUGAAAUUACACUCAAAAAUAAGAGAAAACAAAC
rnacentral:lncRNA from 1 species